rnacentral:rRNA from 1 species
AACGCGAAGAACCUGGCCUUGACAUGCAUUGCUUAGCUGGUGAAAGCCAGUGAGUGUCGAAAGACACACCUUGCACAGGUGCUGCAUGGCUGUCGUCAGCUCGUGUCGUGAGAUGUUGGGUUAAGUCCCGCAACGAGCGCAACCCUUGUCAUUAGUUGCUACGAAAGGGCACUCUAAUGAGACUGCCGGUGACAAACCGGAGGAAGGUGGGGAUGACGUCAAGUCCUCAUGGCCCUUAUGGGUAGGGCUUCACACGUCAUACAAUGGUACAUACAGAGGGCCGCCAACCCGCGAGGGGGAGCUAAUCCCAGAAAGUGUAUCGUAGUCCGGAUUGGAGUCUGCAACUCGACUCCAUGAAGUUGGAAUCGCUAGUAAUCGCGGAUCAGCAUGUCGCGGUGAAUACGUUCCCGGGUCUUGUACACACGC